AAUGUUUCCACAGCAACUGGAGGCCCCUUUCUUUUAAUCUUGUGCAGACGAGACGGGAUGAGGUGUAAUUCCCCGAGACUCGAGCUCUGAAGCGGGGGGUCCCGGAUUCUCGGAAAACUUCUGAGGUUGCCCGGACGAAAAUGAGAUGCUGAGUCUAUGGACAUAGAUAGGUUGGGAACUAGUGAAAGAAUCCAUGGCAGAAGUACU